GAACAUGUAGCUCAGUGGAUAGAGUGUCAGAUUCCGAUUCUGUAUGUCGAAGGUUCGAUCCCUUUCAUGUUCA
rnacentral:tRNA from 1 species